rnacentral:lncRNA from 1 species
GGAGGGGAGGAGGCAAUGACACAUGCUCUUGGAGGGAGGGGAGGAGGCAUCGCCAGCUUUUGAACAUAGGGAAGGAAGCAGUGCUGCCACCAGCACUUGGAGGGACAGGAGUAGGGGCCACCGGUUGUUGAAGAGAGGAGAGGAGACGGGUGGGGAAGUACGGGCUGAUUGGUGGUUGUAUUUGGUAGAUGUGGGACUUAGUCGGUAAUAAACCAAGGGGAGAGUGAAAGUCUAUUAUAUACGUUGGGUUUGAGGUAUAUGUGAUAAUGAGCCUUUUUGAUAGUAUUUCAGUUUUCUCUGUUAAUUUACCUAAGGGUACGAACCAAAAUAAUCAGAAUUAAUUUGGUUAUAAAUAACUUGAAAAUACGAAUGAAAACUAUGAUUAUGAUCUUAAGUAUUUUAGUUUGAUCUUCAAUCAUCGGUAAAUUAUGCCCACUCCUUGAGUGUCAUCAUCAAGAUUUACUAUGCCAAUGCAAUCAGUGAAAAUCUACCACAAACUCAUGCAUUAUUCAAUCUAUAAUAGGGUCGCAGGGACACUUUAACCCCAAAUGUCAUUUUG